rnacentral:rRNA from 1 species
GACUAAUUACCCGAGUAGUCCUGGCCGUAAACGCUGUGAGCAAGAUGAUGCAUAUUCUUCGGGAAUAUGCAGUGUCGAAGAGAAGUCGUUAAGCUCACCACCUGGGAAGUAUGGUCGCAAGGCUGAAACUUAAAGGAAUUGGCGGGGGAGCACCACAAGGGGUGCGGCGUGCGGUUUAAUCUAAUUCAACACACAGAAUCUCACCAGCAGCGACGGCAGGAUGAAGAUCAGUUUGAAGGGCUUAUCCGACGAGCCGAGAGGUAGUGCAUGGCCGCCGUCAGCUCGUGCUGUAAGGUGUCCUGUUAAGUCAGGCAACGAGCAAGACCUGUAUCCAUAAUUGCUAACGGCCCUCUUUGGGGAUUCGAGCACAUUGUGGGGACUGCCUUCGAAAGGAGGAGGAAGGUGCAGGCAACGGUAGGUCUGUAUGCUCCGAAUCUGCUGGGCUACACGCGCGCAACAAUGGUAAGGACAAAAGGAUGCAACUCCGAAAGGAGAAGCUAAUCCCAAAAACCUUAUCUUAGUCUAGAUUGAGGAUUGUAACUCAUCCUCAUGA